rnacentral:rRNA from 1 species
UGUGGAAUAUUGCACAAUGGGCGAAAGCCUGAUGCAGCGACGCCGCGUGAGGGAUGAAGGCCCUAGGGUUGUAAAGCUCUUUUACCCGGGAAGAUAAUGACUGUACCGGGAGAAUAAGCCCCGGCUAACUCCGUGCCAGCAGCCGCGGUAAUACGGAGGGGGCUAGCGUUGUUCGGAAUUACUGGGCGUAAAGCGCGCGUAGGCGGCUUUGUAAGUUAGAGGUGAAAGCCCGGGGCUCAACCCCGGAAAUGCCUUUAAGACUGCAUCGCUUGAAUCCAGGAGAGGUGAGUGGAAUUCCGAGUGUAGAGGUGAAAUUCGUAGAUAUUCGGAAGAACACCAGUGGCGAAGGCGGAUCACUGGCCUGGUAUUGACGCUGAGGUGCGAAAGCGUGGGGAGCAAACA